CUGUUUCUUUUCACCUACAGCUGUGGCAUCAUUACUGCCAUCAAAACCAUCAUCAUCAGAUAAAGUGACGACAUCAUCUCUUUCAACUGCAGGGCUCACACCAAGACCAGAAAGUAUCCUGGACCUCCGGUGCAAGUUGAGGCUGGAUCAAGGGCCAUGCCGUGUUUAUAUCAUAAAAUGGUAUUAUGAUAAACAGGCCAAUGCCUGUGCUCAGUUUUGGUACGGUGGCUGCAGUGGAAAUGCAAACCGCUUUGACAGUGAAGAGGAAUGUAGAGAUGCUUGUGUACUUUUUUCUGGAGAAAUCUGAUAUUUGGCAUGGAUUCUGCAAUGAAGACUUCACUUUUUUUUGAGAGAGAGUGUUCGACAAAUCCUAUUUUAAUAUUUCAAGCCUAAAAUAUCGAUUUCCAAAUUACAUGCAGAGUAUUACUCAGUACAGAUAAAUAGAGCAAAUGCAUCAACCGGUGGCCUUCGUGCUUUCUGGGUCAUAAGACAGGGAGGUGGCUCAGCUACCCACCUUUCCCAACCAGAUCACAGUUACAUGUACUAGUUUUUUCUGUAAACUUUCCUCAGUUUCAAUUAGCUAGCAAGACAUAUGUCAAAUGCAGUUAAAACACAUACACGGAUUUUAUCAAUAGCUAGCAUCAAU
rnacentral:lncRNA from 1 species